rnacentral:tRNA from 1 species
ACUCAAAUAGCUUAAAGAAGAGUAUAAUAUUGAAGCUGUUAAGGUGAUGUGAUAUCUUUGAGUA